AUUCUUUUUCAAUUGUGUCAGCAGUUAUUCAAAUAAAUUCAUGAGCUGAUGCAGCGAAAUUUUUGUAAGUGAAAACUGAAAUUAACUUACUCUUUCAUCUUGGAUCUCAUCCCGAUCACUUAUCAGGUUAGCCAUUCUUGCUAAUUUUUUUCUCUUUUGUGGACUUACCUUCAUCA